UGGGGAAUAUUGGACAAUGGGCGCAAGCCUGAUCCAGCCAUGCCGCGUGUGUGAAGAAGGCCUUUUGGUUGUAAAGCACUUUAAGCGAGGAGGAGGCUACUUGGAUUAAUACUCUAGGAUAGUGGACGUUACUCGCAGAAUAAGCACCGGCUAACUCUGUGCCAGCAGCCGCGGUAAUACAGAGGGUGCGAGCGUUAAUCGGAUUUACUGGGCGUAAAGCGUGCGUAGGCGGCUUUUUAAGUCGGAUGUGAAAUCCCUGAGCUUAACUUAGGAAUUGCAUUCGAUACUGGGAAGCUAGAGUAUGGGAGAGGAUGGUAGAAUUCCAGGUGUAGCGGUGAAAUGCGUAGAGAUCUGGAGGAAUACCGAUGGCGAAGGCAGCCAUCUGGCCUAAUACUGACGCUGAGGUACGAAAGCAUGGGGAGCAAACAGGAUUAGAUACCCUGGUAGUCCAUGCCGUAAACGAUGUCUACUAGCCGUUGGGGCCUUUGAGGCUUUAGUGGCGCAGCUAACGCGAUAAGUAGACCGCCUGGG
rnacentral:rRNA from 1 species